rnacentral:rRNA from 1 species
UUAAGCGACUAAGCGUACACGGUGGAUGCCCUGGCAGUCAGAGGCGAUGAAGGACGUGCUAAUCUGCGAAAAGCGUCGGUAAGGUGAUAUGAACCGUUAUAACCGGCGAUGUCCGAAUGGGGAAACCCAGUGUGAUUCGUCACACUAUCGUUAACUGAAUACAUAGGUUAACGAGGCGAACCGGGGGAACUGAAACAUCUAAGUACCCCGAGGAAAAGAAAUCAACCGAGAUUCCCCCAGUAGCGGCGAGCGAACGGGGAGCAGCCCAGAGUCUGAAUCAGCUUGUGUGUUAGUGGAACGGUCUGGAAAGUCCGACGGUACAGGGUGAUAGUCCCGUACACCAAAAUGCACAGGUUGUGAACUCGAAGAGUAGGGCGGGACACGUGGUAUCCUGUCUGAAUAUGGGGGGACCAUCCUCCAAGGCUAAAUACUCCUGACUGACCGAUAGUGAACCAGUACCGUGAGGGAAAGGCGAAAAGAACCCCGGCGAGGGGAGUGAAAAAGAACCUGAAACCGUGUACGUACAAGCAGUGGGAGCACCUUCGGGUGUGACUGCGUACCUUUUGUAUAAUGGGUCAGCGACUUAUAUUCUGUAGCAAGGUUAACCGUAUAGGGGAGCCGCAGGGAAACCGAGUCUUAACUGGGCGUUAAGUUGCAGGGUAUAGACCCGAAACCCGGUGAUCUAGCCAUGGGCAGGUUGAAGGUUGGGUAACACUAACUGGAGGACCGAACCGACUAAUGUUGAAAAAUUAGCGGAUGACUUGUGGCUGGGGGUGAAAGGCCAAUCAAACCGGGAGAUAGCUGGUUCUCCCCGAAAGCUAUUUAGGUAGCGCCUCGUGAAUUCAUCUUCGGGGGUAGAGCACUGUUUCGGCUAGGGGGUCAUCCCGACUUACCAACCCGAUGCAAACUACGAAUACCGAAGAAUGUUAUCACGGGAGACACACGGCGGGUGCUAACGUCCGUCGUGAAGAGGGAAACAACCCAGACCGCCAGCUAAGGUCCCAAAGUCAUGGUUAAGUGGGAAACGAUGUGGGAAGGCACAGACAGCCAGGAUGUUGGCUUAGAAGCAGCCAUCAUUUAAAGAAAGCGUAAUAGCUCACUGGUCGAGUCGGCCUGCGCGGAAGAUGUAACGGGGCUAAACCAUGCACCGAAGCUGCGGCAGCGACACUAUGUGUUGUUGGGUAGGGGAGCGUUCUGUAAGCCUGCGAAGGUGACCUGUGAGGGUUGCUGGAGGUAUCAGAAGUGCGAAUGCUGACAUAAGUAACGAUAAAGCGGGUGAAAAGCCCGCUCGCCGGAAGACCAAGGGUUCCUGUCCAACGUUAAUCGGGGCAGGGUGAGUCGACCCCUAAGGCGAGGCCGAAAGGCGUAGUCGAUGGGAAACAGGUUAAUAUUCCUGUACUUGGUGUUACUGCGAAGGGGGGACGGAGAAGGCUAUGUUAGCCGGGCGACGGUUGUCCCGGUUUAAGCAUGUAGGCUGGUUGUCCAGGCAAAUCCGGAUAAUCAAGGCUGAGGUGUGAUGACGAGGCACUACGGUGCUGAAGUAACAAAUGCCCUGCUUCCAGGAAAAGCCUCUAAGCAUCAGGUAACAUCAAAUCGUACCCCAAACCGACACAGGUGGUCAGGUAGAGAAUACCAAGGCGCUUGAGAGAACUCGGGUGAAGGAACUAGGCAAAAUGGUGCCGUAACUUCGGGAGAAGGCACGCUGGUGUGUAGGUGAAGUCCCUGCGGAUGGAGCUGAGACCAGUCGAAGAUACCAGCUGGCUGCAACUGUUUAUUAAAAACACAGCACUGUGCAAACACGAAAGUGGACGUAUACGGUGUGACGCCUGCCCGGUGCCGGAAGGUUAAUUGAUGGGGUUAUCCGUAAGGAGAAGCUCUUGAUCGAAGCCCCGGUAAACGGCGGCCGUAACUAUAACGGUCCUAAGGUAGCGAAAUUCCUUGUCGGGUAAGUUCCGACCUGCACGAAUGGCGUAAUGAUGGCCAGGCUGUCUCCACCCGAGACUCAGUGAAAUUGAACUCGCUGUGAAGAUGCAGUGUACCCGCGGCAAGACGGAAAGACCCCGUGAACCUUUACUAUAGCUUGACACUGAACAUUGAGCCUUGAUGUGUAGGAUAGGUGGGAGGCUUUGAAGCGUGGACGCCAGUCUGCGUGGAGCCAACCUUGAAAUACCACCCUUUAAUGUUUGAUGUUCUAACGUUGGCCCCU